CCCGUCUUAGCUCAGUUGGAAGAGCAUAAGACUGUAAUGUGAUUGACAUCUUAGGGUCCUCGGUUCGAUCCCGAGAGACGGGA